rnacentral:lncRNA from 1 species
GAAAAUUAAGAAGCGGCUGAAGAGGAAAAAAGAAAAAGAAGGAAGAAUCAGCUAAGAAAAAAAAAGAAAGAAAAAACCGCAUCUCGUCUCUUGCAGCCGCCUAUUAAAAAGGGGAGGCAGCAAAAGGGUGAAGCAGAAAAGGAGAGAGAGUCGGGAGCUAGAAGAGAAAGCAGCGACCAAAUUUGCAUACGCAGCAAGUGCAAGUAGAGGUGAAAGGAAGCAAACGCGGUGGAAAUAGAGAGAAGCUGAGAAAAAUUUUCUAGUAAUUUAUUUAUUUUAUUUUCAGUUAACUUAUUUUCGGGUAAAUAUUUUUAGGAUAUUCUGAUGAAAUUUGAAUGUUAGCAUUUGAGAUUUUUCAAAUAUAUAUUUUUAAUUAAUUACUUGAGUUAUGUUUUUCUCAAAUAUACUUUGUGUUGCUCAAACCAACAUCUCCAUCUAAAUUUCUUUCGCCAGAGUAACCGACGUG